GGCGCGCCCCGGGCGGGGCGGGGGCACGGGGGGAACGCGAAGAACCUUACCAAGGCUUGACAUAUACCGGAAAGCAUCAGAGAUGGUGCCCCCCUUGUGGUCGGUAUACAGGUGGUGCAUGGCUGUCGUCAGCUCGUGUCGUGAGAUGUUGGGUUAAGUCCCGCAACGAGCGCAACCCUUGUUCUGUGUUGCCAGCAUGCCUUUCGGGGUGAUGGGGACUCACAGGAGACUGCCGGGGUCAACUCGGAGGAAGGUGGGGACGACGUCAAGUCAUCAUGCCCCUUAUGUCUUGGGCUGCACACGUGCUACAAUGGCCGGUACAAUGAGCUGCGAUGCCGCGAGGCGGAGCGAAUCUCAAAAAGCCGGUCUCAGUUCGGAUUGGGGUCUGCAACUCGACCCCAUGAAGUCGGAGUUGCUAGUAAUCGCAGAUCAGCAUUGCUGCGGUGAAUACGUUCCCGGGUCUUGUACACACCGA
rnacentral:rRNA from 1 species